UAACAGGAAACAUCUUGUUUUAGGAAAAAUAACCCAGUUGAUUUUCCUUUUUUCUUUAUCGCCUAAAAUGUUACACUAACAACUCUCUUGACUGCCUUUAGUUCUUAUAAACUGAUGAAAUAUAAGUUUAUUUCUGUUUGUACAGUGUUUUGGAUUUAUUUAGGUACUGAUAGAUGUAUCCUGCCUUUUAGGACUCAGCAGUACUGUUCUCUGGUGGCGGUUUUAAUUUUAAG
rnacentral:lncRNA from 1 species